GGAGGAGAGGAGCAGUUAAGACAUUGAAUCACCCGAGGAAAUGCAAGAGCCAGCAGGAACUCAGUGGAAAGUGGGAGGAAACAUGUCAGGAGCCCCAUGUACAGCUGCAUCAGUUGAGCACUGCACAAGUCUGGGGUCAUCGUUCCCCAAACUGUGAACGUGAGGAGCUUUGUGAGACUUCUAGGACAGGUAUCCAGGGGUCACCCAGAUGCAGGGCUGGAGCAAGAGCAAGGAACCACGGCCUCAGAGAAGGCGAGGGGGUGGCUAAGACUUUCGCUUUCUGGGACUUCCCAGGUGCGUCUUCCACGGUGGCGGACUGGACAGGGUAGACAGCGGGACUGUGAAGAGGGACAGCGGACACCAGAUUAUCAGGCCAGAGGUUGUUGUUCCUUCUGUGUGCGGACAGGGCUCAAGGGCCUCUGACAGUGUUUAUUUAGUACACUGCAGAAGAUCAAUAAAUUUUCCUGAAUAAGAAAAAUGAAUGUGUCAGGCAAAAGAAAUUCCACAGCGAGGAGAAUCCCCGCCGUGGACACGAGGGGGAGCCCGAGACACCCGUCCUCCCGAGGCCCGGGGCGGGCGGUUCUCGCGGUGCCGGGACCAGGACCUCCGUCCCGGCUUCUGCCGCCUCGGAGCCCAGGCUAAGGUGACACAGAAGGCGCAGGCCUCGGUGGACCCGCUCCCCGUGAGAGAUGGAGUCACUGUUCACUGCACACUUGUACGGCGUGUUUUGAGACAGGGUCUCAC